GACGAACGAGGGAGGCGUGCUUAACACAUGCAAGUCGAACGGAAAGGCCCUGCUUUUGUGGGGUGCUCGAGUGGCGAACGGGUGAGUAACACGUGAGUAACCUGCCCUUGACUUUGGGAUAACUUCAGGAAACUGGGGCUAAUACCGGAUAGGAGCUCCUGCUGCAUGGUGGGGGUUGGAAAGUUUCGGCGGUUGGGGAUGGACUCGCGGCUUAUCAGCUUGUUGGUGGGGUAGUGGCUUACCAAGGCUUUGACGGGUAGCCGGCCUGAGAGGGUGACCGGCCACAUUGGGACUGAGAUACGGCCCAGACUCCUACGGGAGGCAGCAGUGGGGAAUAUUGCACAAUGGGCUGAAGCCUGAUGCAGCAACGCCGCGUGCGGGAUGACGGCCUUCGGGUUGUAAACCGCUUUCGCCUGUGACGAAGCGUGAGUGACGGUAAUGGGUAAAGAAGCACCGGCUAACUACGUG
rnacentral:rRNA from 1 species